UUUUACAUGGAAAAUUCAGACCAAACCAAACAUGACGCAGCAAUUUUGUUUCAAGACAACGGUGGAAGACGGCUCCUGCUUAUCUGGCAACAUGCUGCACCGCGAUAUGAAACGCUAUUUGCAUAACAAGUCCUACAGCGUCAUAGGUACAGCAAGACUGCGAGGAGAAAAAAAAAACACGCUCGAAUCUAGAGACAUUUAAACCCUUUUAAG